UUAUUUAUUCAGCAUUUAUUUGGGGUUGUGUUUGUGGCCAGCCGAUGAUAUGUCCGAUUUUCACUCAGUUUUAGUUCCGUUUUUUUGAUCUUCACCUGAACCUGAGGCAAACAUCUGGCUCUGUAGCUGCUAAAUGCUCCAUUGUGUUCACCGGCUUGUUGCUGGCUUUGCCGUUUGACGCUGGGCAGGGAGCACACUAGUGAUUUUUAGCCAUUCUUGGCACAAAGAAAGGGGGCGGGAGGGGCUGCCUGUUGCGGUUGAAAAACCAAAGCAAUGAGCUGAAAGACCCUGAAAAGCUCCACAGAGCUGAGGGCAACCAAGUCGGGUGGCAUAUCUCUUCUCACAUGUCUCCAAUAUAGAUCCUGGGCUGAACCUCAUCCAGAUGGUUGCUGGUCCCUUUCUUUGUCCACAUCAGCCUCUGGAGCUCUGAAGCUGGAGGGGUCUCAUACCUGCCGUCUGCCCCCUCAGGGCUCGCCAGGCAGCUGAGGCCUCUGGGCAUGUCUGGAUAUUUUACUCCUGCUUUUACAACCUGUCACACAGAAGUACCACAUAUUCGUAUUCUGACAGAGUUUGAACGAAAGCAUUGGCCAUUGCAGUGACAUUUGGACCACAGGGAGUGCUGAGAAGUCAUCAGAAGGCUGAAGAUCCAGAUCCAACAGCAAAGCCAGGAAGUUCCUGUUGGGGUAGAUGGCCCUCUUCUGGAUCAAUUUCUGCAAAGCCUGUUUGAGCGGGAGGUGACGGUAGAUCAUGA